CUCUUUGCGCCGAGGCAUUGUCGCAUCCAAUGACGUUUAUUGGAGGAGCGACUAUUGCUAGUUUAAACUUCUGACUU
rnacentral:snRNA from 1 species